AAACGACUCUCGGCAACGGAUAUCUCGGCUCUCGCAUCGAUGAAGAACGUAGCGAAAUGCGAUACUUGGUGUGAAUUGCAGAAUCCCGUGAACCAUCGAGUCUUUGAACGCAAGUUGCGCCCAAAGCCUUCGGGCUAAGGGCACGUCUGCCUGGGUGUCACGC
rnacentral:rRNA from 1 species